rfam:Schistosoma rodhaini strain Burundi genome assembly, scaffold: SROB_scaffold0003264
ACCUUGCUGACGAGUGCCAACUAGCGCGAAACCCGGGUCUAGGGU